ACAAGACAGCCCUAUUGUUGUUGAAUCUACAAGCGAGGUGAGCAAUCACUCUGUAGUUUUCUCGAGUUUUGGGUGCUUGUACCAGCUCCUCGAAGUAUUAUUCAUCAUAAGCGAAUAAUAAGGGAGACAUGGAAUGCAGCUGCAUGAGGUAGCAGAGCAAAAAGAAUAAAUAAAAAGCCACAUACCAGGAGCAUUAUACUAUUAUAUCAUCAGGGUGAGAGAGAAAGAGAGAAGAUGGAGAGGUUGACGCAGGCAGGAGUCAUCUUCCUCAUUCUCCAGAGCCUGCUCAUUAAAGGUGGGAGGAGUGAAAUGCCCUUCAUCACAGCCCACGCCUGCGAGGGUUCCUACUUGGACCUGAAGUGUUCGAAUGAGACCCUGGUGCUGCACAUUAUACGGGCCAACUAUGGCCGCUUGUCCAACUCA
rnacentral:lncRNA from 1 species